UACGUAGGGGGCAAGCGUUGUCCGGAUUUACUGGGCGUAAAGAGCGUGUAGGCGGCCAGAUAGGUCUGUUGUGAAAACUCGAGGCUCAACCUCGAGACGCCGAUGGAAACCAUUUGGCUAGAGUCCGGAAGAGGAGAGUGGAAUUCCUGGUGUAGCGGUGAAAUGCGCAGAUAUCAGGAAGAACACCCGUGGCGAAAGCGGCUCUCUGGAACGGUACUGACGCUGAGACGCGAAAGCGUGGGGAGCGAACAGG
rnacentral:rRNA from 1 species